rnacentral:rRNA from 1 species
UACAGAGGUCUCAAGCGUUGUUCGGAUUCAUUGGGCGUAAAGGGUGCGUAGGCGGUUUGGUAAGUCUGAUGUGAAAUCUAUGGGCUCAACUCAUAGUCUGCAUCGGAAACUGCCGGGCUUGAGUAUGGGAGAGGUGAGUGGAAUUCCUGGUGUAGCGGUGAAAUGCGUAGAUAUCAGGAGGAACACCUGUGGCGAAAGCGGCUCACUGGACCAUAACUGACGCUGAUGCACGAAAGCUAGGGGAGCAAACAGG